CCCAUGUAGUUCAUCGAGCAUGAAUAGGAUAUGCAGGAAAGCGAAAUCAGAUUUGGGGGUGAUGCCCCGCCAUUAAAUAAGAUAAUGAAACUGAAAAUUGAUUAGUAGUGUGCCUAUUCACUGGCAAUCAAAGUAGGGAGUAGCUAUGGACCACAGCUAUAGAUCUUCUGUGGUG
rnacentral:ncRNA from 1 species